rnacentral:lncRNA from 1 species
CUGCUGCUUCUCAGUCAUGAUGAUUUCUUUGAGGUUUUUCAAUUCACAUUGUUGUUUUUGAUUCUCUGCUUGUAGUUGCUCUAGUUCAUCUUGUCUGAGUUUUAUUUUCUCUUUCUCAUUUUCAAGAUCAUCAAUUUGUUUGGAGAUGUUCAAUUUCAUUUCUUUAAGGUUGUUUUUCUCUCUUUGUAGAUCUGCCAUUGAAGACUCACUUGCAGCUUUCUCAUUUUCAAGAUCAUCAAUUUGUUUGGAGAUGUUCAAUCUCAUUUCCUCAAGGUUGUUUUUUUCUCUUUGUAGAUCUGCCAUUGAACACUCACUUGCAGCUUUCAUUUCAUCCAGAAUCUCAUGUUUUCUCUUUGUAUCUUCAACAAGAUUAGCAAUAUCUUCUUUCUCUUUCUUAAGUUCUUCAGCCAUCUUUUCUAAACUCUGUCUCUCAUUUUGUGUUUCUUCUUUGAGCUUUCUGAUAUCAUCAGCUUCUCUUUGCAGAUCAAUCUUCAUCUGUUCUAACUUGUUCUUCUCAUCUUCAGUCACUUGUUUCUGAAGUGUCAUCAUCUUUAGGUCUUCAGUCAGAUCCUUUCUACUUUGGUCUACAUCAUCUCUUUCUUUCUUCAUUUGCCAUUUCUGUUCUUCCAUCUUUUGUUUUUCUUCAUCUAGUUGGCUUCUCUCAUUUCUCAUUUUUUCCAUAAUGUGACUCACUUCUGACUGUUGUUUGUCUAGCUCAGACUGUCUCAGAUCAAGCUGACUUCUGUCUUUUAUUAUAAUGUUUCUGUCAUUGUCUAGUUCCUGUUUCUGUAUCAUCAGCUUCUCUUUGCAGCUCAAUCUUCAUCUGUUCUAACUUGUUCUUCUCAUCUUCAGUCACUUGUUUCUGAAGUGUCAUCAUCUUUAUGUCUUCAGUCAGAUCCUUUCUACUUUGGUCUACAUCAUCUCUUUCUUUCUUCAUUUGCCAUUUCUGUUCUUCCAUCUUUUGUUUUUCUUCAUCUAGUUGGCUUCUCUCAUUUCUCAUUUUUUCCAUAAUGUGACUCACUUCUGACUGUUGUUUGUCUAGCUCAGACUGUCUCAGAUCAAGCUGACUUCUGUCUUUUAUUAUAAUGUUUCUGUCAUUGUCUAGUUCCUGUUUCUGAUUCUGAAUUUCAGUUUUCAGUUGUUCGAGUUCAUGUUGUUUUUGUCU